GACAGAGGGUGCAAACGUUGUUCGGAAUUACUGGGCGUAAAGCGAGUGUAGGCGGUUUGGUAAGUCGGAUGUGAAAGCCCCGGGCUCAACCCGGGAAGUGCACUCGGUACUGCCAAGCUAGAGUAUCGGAGAGGUUGGUGGAAUUCUCGGUGUAGAGGUGAAAUUCGUAGAUAUCGAGAGGAACACCGGUGGCGAAGGCGGCCAACUGGACGAAUACUGACGCUGAGACUCGAAAGCGUGGGGAGCAAACAGG
rnacentral:rRNA from 1 species